CGUGGGCAAUCUGCCCUAAAGACUGGGAUACCACUUGGAAACAGGUGCUAAUACCGGAUAACAACAUGAAUCGCAUGAUUCAAGUUUGAAAGGCGGCGCAAGCUGUCACUUUAGGAUGAGCCCGCGGCGCAUUAGCUAGUUGGUGGGGUAAAGGCCUACCAAGGCAAUGAUGCGUAGCCGAGUUGAGAGACUGAUCGGCCACAUUGGGACUGAGACACGGCCCAAACUCCUACGGGAGGCAGCAGUG
rnacentral:rRNA from 1 species